AAUUGGCCCUAUCGAAGCUGUGUUUCUUGCGCCAAUGCAUAAACAUAGUCAAAAUGAGGCCUAAAUAAUAAUGUCUGUAAUGGUCACUAGUCUGCUCUUUGUAUAGCUUUUCUAGUAUUACCCAAGCAGAAUACAAUU